AUGAUCUCAAAGGCUCCCCUCCUUUGCCUGCUGCUUUUCUGGAUUCAGGACUCCAGUGGACAGAUCGUACUGACUCAGACUCCAGAAUCGGAAAAUUUUAUUCUCUCUCCAGACUCCAGGGGACAGAUCGUACUGACUCAGACUCCAGAAUCCCUGGCAGUAUCUCCAGGAGACACAGUCACUAUCCGCUGCAAAGCCAGUUCCAGCGCUUAUAGCUACAUGGCCUGGUACCAACAGAAAUCAGGACACGCUCCUAAGCUCCUUAUCUAUAAUACAUCGACCCGUCCCUCUGGGAUCCCAGACCGGUUCAGCGGCAGUGGGUCAGGCACGGACUUCACAUUCACCAUCAGCAGGGUUGAAGCGGACAAUGCCAGAGAUUAUUACUGUCAGCAGCAUCACGACACCCCUCUCACACAGUGA